AGGCCUAACACAUGCAAGUCGAGCGCCGUAGCAAUACGGAGCGGCAGACGGGAGAGUAACACGUGGGAACGUACCCUUCAGUCCGGAACAACCCAGGGAAACUUGGGCUAAUACCGGAUACGUCCGUAAGGAGAAAGAUUUAUCGCUGAAGGAUCGGCCCGCGUCUGAUUAGCUUGUUGGUGAGGUAACGGCUCACCAAGGCUACGAUCAGUAGCUGGUCUGAGAGGAUGAUCAGCCUCACUGGGACUGAGACACGGCCCAG
rnacentral:rRNA from 1 species